rnacentral:tRNA from 1 species
CAAGACGUAGCUAAAAUCGAAAGCAUUCAGCUUACACCUGAAAGAUAUCUGCCACCUACCAGAUCGUCUUGA